GACGAACGCUGGCGGCGUGCCUAACACAUGCAAGUCGAGCGAGAAACUUCGGUUUCUAGCGGCGGACGGGUGAGUAACACGUGGGUAACCUGCCUGAAAGAGGGGGAUAGCCUCCAGAAAGGGAGAUUAAUACAGCAUAAUAUCAUAGCUUCGCAUGUAGCAAUGAUUAAAGGAGUAAUCCGCUUUGAGAUGGACCCGCGUCGCAUUAGCUAGUUGGAGAGGUAACGGCUCACAAAGGCGACGAUGCGUAGCCGACCUGAGAGGGUGAUCGGCCACAUUGGAACUGAGACACGGACCAGACUCCUACGGGAGGCAGCAGUGGGGAAUAUUGCACAAUGGGCGAAAGCCUGAUGCAGCAACGCCGCGUGAGUGAUGAAGGUCUUCGGAUUGUAAAACUCUGUCUUUUGGGACGAUAAUGACGGUACCAAAGGAGGAAGCCACGGCUAACUACGUGCCAGCCGCCGCGGUAAAAC
rnacentral:rRNA from 1 species